AGGUGUGAACGGUGUGGGGUUGGAGUGUUUGGAACCCGUGGGGUUUGUGGCUUGGGAGGGUAGCUGGGGGAUUGGAGGGCCAACAAUGCUUUUCAGUUAGGAGGACUCAGUUCAUCGAGCGUGCUGGCAGUUGCAGAAGGAAAGGGGGGGGGCACGAUUUCCUCGGGUAGGGGCCGAAGUGUGUGAAGGUUGGGGGCGCCGGAGGACACACUGUCAAGAGCUGGGAGGGGCCGUCUGCAGAAAGAUGAGUCCACGCUCGGAUCCCAGCCUUGCUUGGCAAAGAGAAGGUGGGCAGGUGGCCUUACCUGUGGAGGGCGGCCCCCCUCGCACCUCGCCUGCCUCCAGCCCAGCCCAGCCCGUCUCCCCUCCCUCCUUCCCUCACAGACGAUGCUCCACCUCUCCCCAAGGACAGCUCAGGCAAAAGGGCCAGUGACUAAUUUCCCGAGCCACCUUAGCCAUGGAAUAUUCUCGUAUUUAAAGCAUUUUUUGAUAAAUUGUCUGUCAACAGUAGAUGAAGUUAACAUUUCUUUCGAUCAAUAAAAUAAAUAUUGAGGUUACGAGUUAAAUACUGUCUAAAUUUCUAAGGACUGGCUGUUGCAUGCUUUGGUGUUCGUUCAGUUCCUGCCCAUCUGCUUUAACAAAUUUUGCAGAGCUGUUAUAAUUUUCAUUCAUAAUAUAUGAUGGGUUUGUCCGGAUUUCCUCCAUGUGUGAAAUCUAUUUAAUGUUAACAUUCUUAAAUUGGAGUCGGUUAUAAAUAAUGCACUAGGAGACGUGAAGUGGGGCAGGUCAUUUCUUUGUGUCGUACCUGUCAGGGGAACGCUUACAUUUUUCGUGUUUCUAAAUAGUUUUGCACAACUUGGGCCCAGAUUACGCCUAUCAAAGAGAGACGGCUCUUUGUGUCCUGGUUUACGUGAAUUAAAAACUUUUGGCCAAUGUGUGGUCCAAAAAAGACAGUGGGUAGAGAGGGCUUGCCGACAGCCUUUCUUUCGUGUGCACGUGAAUGGGCCCUUCCAUUUUUCCUGGAGGCCAGAAUCCACUUUGAAAUUCAUGUUUGAUAAAUUCCCCGGCUUUCGGAGUAAUUUCACUGUCUAUAGGGCAGUUGAUCCUUGGAGUGUAUCAGUGAACCUCAGGGACUUGUGUACCAUUUCUGCAUAUCCAAGUUCAAAUAUAUGCUCAGGAUCGGUUUAAAUUUUAAGUUGUUGAUCUUAUUUCUGAUAGAUUUGUUAGCUUAGCCUCCAUGUCGUUUCUAAAACCUGGGCCUAAUCCUCAAAUACUCUCUUCUUAAACACAUCUUUGCUAAGUUCCUUGAUUGCGUUAGUAAAAUGUAUAUUGAGCAGUUGUUCUGCACGUUACAUUGCCAGCGCCUUCGCUGAGAGGCCGGAACCUUGAUACCCUGGCUGUCAGUUACCACCCACCUUCUCCUUUGCCCUCUGUCUCAGGCAGACCGUUAGUUUUCAUGUCGGCUCCAGCAGGUGCUUAAGAUUUUCACCAGUGGGAACAGAUUUUUACGCCAUCCCUUUUCCAAUAUAAAAUGCAAGCCUCGUCUAUUAAUUUUUUGCUUAUUCUUAUAAUUCUUGAUGUUUUGUUGGCCUUACAAAUAUUAUUUCUUCAAAACGUUUUUAACACAUUGUUACUGAUAAAAGUAAGUAACUGACUUUUUCUCCUGAGUCUAUUUUGAAAGGAAAGGUCUAGCAUUCAUAAGUGAGUGAAUUCUGGAGUUCCCUGGCGGUGCCUCGAGUUAAGAAGCCAGAGUCGUCACCGUUGUGGCUUGGGUCGCUGCUGAGGUGCCAGUUCGACUCCUGGCCCCAGGAACUUGCACAUGCAGCGGGGAUAGCCAAGAGGAAAAAGAAAAGAAAAAAAGGAAAUAUGUGAAUUCCACACACACUGAGCCUAGACUAUUUCUCACAAACAGCUUUCUCUUGGGCAUGCCAGGAUUCCCCAAGCAUUGUAAUAAAUGCAGCUAUUUUUUGAAGUUGCGACCCCCUUAAUCACCAUGGGUUGUGAUUUGCAUUUAGUGGGUGAGGAGGUGCUGGCGCCCAUGGUUCUGGGACCCGGCGUGCCACACCUCAGGUCAGGGCGGUGCCGAACGUCCUUCGAUUCUCCCUAACGGGGUUGCUUUCUCCUGGUCGUCUUCCUGAAAGCAGCUCCUCUGGGGAAAUGCAUUUCAGUUCACACUGCAGAGUGGCGUGCAUCUUCCUUCUCUUUCCUUCUGUCCUCGUCCAUGGCGCUCACCUGCCCGGGGUCCAGCGCAGGUGCAGCCGGAGCCUCGUGCCCUGCUUCUCUGCAGCUUAUUCCUUCGCCUGAGUCAGCUCAGAAUCUUGAAGCCUUUCUUACCUCUUUAUAUUUUUCUUCUCCAUAAGGAAAUUAGUCUCAAGGAAAAAAAAAAAUUCCUUCUGUGUGGCCUGUUCUGCAGGACUUAAGAACUUCCUCUUCUUAGUUUUCAGGCCCGACCUGACCAGCAGUGCCAGAAUUCAAAUUUACAGUCUCUGGGGCAACAUUUUAAUAGAGUUUUUGCUGGUGUUAAAGCUUAACUCUGGUGUUAUAUUCAUACUCUACCAUGGAGGUUUAACCACCCAAUUUUAUUAGCAGCAAAAUAAAAGUAUCAGGGACCUGAAAUCCCAGUGUUUGUGUCAUGGGAGGGAGCAGCCUUGCCCCCUUUCUCCCAAAGGUAAUUUAUAUCAUCGUGGAUCAGGGUGCACGUAAACUUGGAGAGCGGUAAAAAAAAGAAGCCAUUUGAGAACAUUUCUGACUUAAAUGAAUUAUGUGUAGGAAAAGAAUACCCAGCCCAUAUUAUCUUUGCCUUUUACAGGAAAUAAAGCUUUGAUGGCAGGAGCAUUUGCUACAGUUAUGCACCCUGGACAAAGAUCACUUUAGAGGCUAAAUUAAUAGGUCUGGAACAUGAAAAUGAGAACAAUGAAUCGAUCUCAUUUGAAGUUAUUUUUUUUUUUUCAAAUUAUUUCUUGUCUGGGCUUUUGAGCUUUCCAAAGAGCAUUGGGUCCCGCGCUCUGUGUGGGAUCCGAGCACGCCUUCUGCUGCGGCGAUCCGCUUUACAGACCAUGCCCACCGAGGAUGCUGCAGCCACCUUGAACGCUUAUGUUUCCGUGUGGGUGGAUAUGACAAGGAAGUUGUGGCUGGACGUGAGAAAAAGAAAGUAUAUCUGUGUAUGACGGGGUCACUCUUCUGUACAGGAGAAUUUAACACCAUACUGCAAAUCAACUCUAAUACAAAAAAAAAGAUACCCAGAAAAGGAAACUAAGGAGCCCCCCACCCCCUGCCCCCAUUCAGUGGCUGAAGGUUGGUCAGGGUGUAAUUUCUCAUCCUAAACAGAAAGCCCUGCACUCACACUCGAGGCUCGUGCCCUGGCUCUGUCACCAGCUUUUUCUAAGUUGCUUCAAACUCAGAGACAGUUUCCUUUGUCUGUGAUGUGGGGAUGAUGGCGCCCAUGCCCUAGUUUUGGAGGAAGGAUUCGGCAAGAUGAUGGGAGAAGGUGCUUCAAAAGAGAUGAGAUGCCCUGCAGUGCCGGCCUCGGGAAGGGCACGUCACCUGGCAUUUUUCACCUGUUCCAGGGCUUUCUCUCUUGGGUUGGAAGGAGGGUCGGAGGAACUCAAACUUGCCUUCAAUGGGGAGGCCAGAUAAACCACCAAGAACCCAGUUCAAUUUGACUUUCAGAUCAACGAUGAAGAAUAUAUAUAUGUAUUUUUUUGCAUGUGUGUCCCGCAUAUUGUGUGAAUACACUUAUACUAAAAACAUUUUUGUGGUUGAUCAAGAUGCAGAUUUACCUGGGCAUCCUGCACUUUCAGGGGCUAAUUCUGGCAAUCCUCGUUUUCUCGCCUUGGCUUCUGGCGGGAGGCGGGGGCUUCCCUUCUUUUAGUGUCCCCCAGGACCUCAGACCCCAGCCACUGGCUGAACACAGUUCAAGGAGGCACUUGGAGUCAGGCGAGGAGGUGUUCAGCCGUGGCUUUCAUCUGUGUUAGCACGUGAUUUUCUAUCUGGGUGUCCAGCACAUCCCUUGACCUGGCCAAGCCUCAGCUGUAAAACGGACAUCAGCCCUCACUCCACAAGGGUGCUGUGCAGGUACGAGGAACAGACGUAAACCUGGGGGAAACUUUAAAACCCUUGGUAGAGGAGUAUUCCCCUGUGCCCGCCUAGCAACCGGAGCCCUCUGCUUGCCCUCUCUGUCAUGAACGGGUAGUUCCGUGCUGCAGUGCAGUGGUUGGAUCAGGCAUCUUUUCCAACAAAAAGUCCUGAUACAACCUCUUUUCCCCCAGCUUAAGCUUCACCUGUCUUCCCUUGGCUUCACGCGCUAUCAGUAAACUACUUUUAUUUGCUUUGCCCUGUUGCUUGCAGGAGCUGAGUUUCUGGUUCCAUUUUUGGAGCAGUCCCAGAGGUGCCUGGCCCUUUAAGCCUGCCCAAAGGAGCACACGGUUUGUGGCCCUGGCAUCUUCAGUCCUCGUCUCAGGAAGGUUGAUGGGCCCCAAGCCAAGGUGGCAGGUGUGAUAAAGAGGGCAGGAAGCGGGGCAGAAGUGACAGAUGUGACGUCCUCUGGCCCAAGACCAGGCUGGGCUGCAGAGGAAGCUGUUGGGGUGGCCGGAGCUUCCCACUUGUGGGUUCUGCACUGGGAGUGUGGGGGGUGAACCCCGCCCUCUGCCCCCUGCCCUCUCUCGUCACUGUGCACACCCCGCUGCCUGGCCGCUCCAGUUUCUUCCGGGCUUCUUUGAAGAGUCUGAUGGCCUUUUGCGGUUCCUUUCUUCCCCCUCCACAAAGGCUGUGCUUUCUCUUCUCUCCGGGAAAGAGAAGCUAGCCCCGUCUCCUCCGACGGCAGUGGUCCUCCUGUCGCGUUGGGAGCCGUUCGGAGGCUUCCCGUCAGGUCUGUCUGGUCCAGCUGCCUUGUUGACUUUCCUCUUGGCUCUUUCUCUCAGCUGCAUCUGGCCUGCUGAUGCUUUUGAGAUGCCUUCUGCUCUGGCGGAGCUAUUUGUGCGGUUUCCCCCGGGUCCUCUGAAGUGUCUGCUGCCUUUCUCCUCCACCCCCUUCCCGCGCGCUCUUUGUUUGCCAUUGUUACAGCAGGCUUUCCCUGGGAGGAACCUGUUUUUCCUUUUGGCUUAAUUUUGCUUUACUCUCACAAAAAGAGUGGGAUUUUACUGUUCCCUACCCCCCGUGAUUGAUGGAAAAGAAUACUGUACCAAUUGAUUGAGAUAAAAAAUUAGUGCUUUGCCAUAGGGAAGCCAAAUUCGCCAUCAGAAGUAGGUGCACAGAGUACUUGAGGCGUCUGUUGAUUAAUUCUCGGGACGCGAGGCCUUUUGACACACAGUUUUAUGUGCUGCGAUGCGGGAGGAAGAAGGCGUGGGAACGGUUGCUGCAGAUUUUGCUUUUACCUUUCGGUGAUUUACUGACCUUCUCUUCUGUGAUAUGAGAAGGGCACUGCGGAUCUGAGGGUGUCUCCUUCUGGAGAGGCCAACUCCUGGGCGUGUGUUUUCUAGAAUGCAGGCUCAGAAUUUCAGGGACUAAGCCAGGAAGACUCAGGAUAGAAUGUUAGUCAAAAAUGCCUACAGUUAUGAAACAAAACAGCAAAAAGAGGCCCCUCUCUCUCAGAUAGGUGUCACUCAGCACCUAAAAGUGACAGCUAAUCAAUUCUUUUAUCACCCGUGCAGAAGGAGAAAAUCCUAAUUUAACAGAGUGUUGAUGGCAAAUAAUUAUUCACAAGAAACAUUUUUGACAGUGACUCAUUUGUUCUUAUUUUAAAAACAUAAAAACAUACUCUGUUUCUUAAAAGCUGUUGUCACCUUCCCGGGCUCCUUACUGCAUCACUGAGGGAUUAGUUUUAUUACAAUCUACAGUCUAACCUAAAUCAUUACAGCAGCAACUCUUUACUUUUGCCAUCUGAAAGCACGGUUACGAAGUACUGCAGUCGUGGUUAGGGCAUGUUGAAAAUUUCCUCGGCCAUGCUCUGAAUGCGUCAUUUCAAAAUAAGGACUUUUUAAGUUGAAUGCCUUUGCGAUAGAAAGCAGUUUGACAUAUGUGAGUUUCAUCGUCAAACAAAGGUAUCGAAUUCAUAGUUCCAGUUAAUAGGGACGUAGCACGGUGCCACUGCGCCAUACUUUUGUCUCAGAGAAGUGGCAAAACCCCCAUUUUUUUCGGUUAGUGGAAACCCGUUGAAAUGUUUCACAUUAAUCACAUUUGCCUGUUGAGAAUGAGUCACAAAUAAAUGCCUUGUGUGAACUAUCACUACACACGAGAACGGAGGCAGAAGUGUAUUACUGUUUCUUGGCAGGCCGAGAAAAAAAGCUCUGUUCACAUUUUGAACUGUGGCUAUUUUUGGUGGUUAUAAAAAAAGUUGGAUUUUCCUUUUUCAUUUUCCCUUUGUGAUGGAAGGCUUGGCAAAUAUACGUACAUUACAUUUUGUACUAAUCUAUUAAUCAAAUUUGAAUUUGGAUGAAUCCUCUAGAAGCAUAGUCAACUAAUUGCCCAUCUCUUUGAUUUUUAAUUGCUAUGGUAGCUUUUUAUGUCUUCUGCUCUCCGGUUAAAAAAUAAUCCACGUUGUGCAGGAUGUGCUGUGUGUUGCUUUCUGGUUUUCCUGCCCCUCACCCUUGCUUGGGGAGUAGGGGUACAAAGCCCAGCUCGCCUGCCACAAGGUGGUGCUCUGCAGAUGAGGGUUUGUGAGUUUUGCAAAAUAAGGUAAUUCUUCUGGACAAUGGGGUGGCAAGAAAAACUAUUAUUUUGCCCAGUGUUUAUUAUGUAAGUUCUGCAUCGGGGCCUGUGGUGAAACUGGCUAAUAUUCCCCAAUACUAAUGCAGGCCAAAUACGGUCCAGGGAAAAAACUCAUGCACUGAAGACACCACAGGGGCAAGCGCUUUAAGUGCUUUGAUAAAUGUUUUCACCUUGAAAACCUUGCUUGCUGCCUCUGGGAGAUUUGGUCAGUGGAAAGCAGCAGGCUGGCUUUCUCCAAGACCGGUUUCUUUUAGUUUUGUGGUUGAAUACUUGGGAGCAAGAACGAGGCUCAUUAGAACAAGUUUUGCUCCGAUGGACAUCCCAAACCUUAGAGUCAAAAAAAUAAACAAGCGGCUUGGUAGGCGUUGGUCGUUCAUGCUCUGUGGGUCCCCCCUCUCCCACGCAGCCCCCGAGUCGGGAGCAGCCACACCCAGAGCCGAAGCCUGAGGCAGGUCCGCCGCCAACCAGCCCGGUCCAGGCACGUGUUGCUUAGCAACGCGGGCCCCGUGAUGCUGACACGUCGGAGGAGCGCGCCCGACGCCCGCCCACCAACGAGGGGAAUAAAUUCGUUAACUCAAGGAGGAGGAAGCGGGCGGCCUGGCGCUGUUCUCCUAGACCGGGCCUCUUGGUGCGGAGAAGAGAAGCUUCACUUAUCAUCCCCCUUUAUGAGGGCAGGAGGGGGAAGCCUUUCACGGUGCAGUGUUGCGAUCCCUCAGGGGUAAAUUUUUAGCUGCAGAAUUUAUGAGUUGCACAUUUAUUUGAUUUGGCUUUUGGUUAAUUUUUUUUCUCCUCUUGUCAACCUGACAAUAUGAGGGCAGAGGAAUGCAGUCCCUGUAGAAGAGGCCGUAAACGGUGCUCGUGGAGCUGCUUUAUAGGGGGGCUUCAGGCUGCGCUCCCGUCCCCUCCCCCUUCCCUUCCCUGUCUGGUGCCAGUUCAGCAAGGCUCAUGCAACCAGAACACUCCACUCCAAAUAAAUAAAUCCCGAAAUAAAUAUGGAUGUGCGUCUCAUUAACAUUACCUGUCAAAUCCCUAAGCACAGGACCCCAAAUGGCCCCCUGGGUCUCCCAGUAAUUUCUGGAAAGCAUAUAAAGAAGAUGAUCAGUGGGGGUAUUUGUGGAAAUCAUUAGCAGGGUGGGAGAAGAUAUGCUUAUAAGUCAAUAAUUCUUUUUGACAGGACCUUAGCGCUGGUUAUGUGAUGACUCUCCUUAAUGGAGGGGAGAGACAUACGGCCGGAGUUUUAUGACAGAUGUCAGGAAUCCUGAAAAGUGGCACAAGGAGGGUCUGGGUUAUUUUUUCCCUUUUAACUGACACGGAUGUUUGGGACAUUUUGUCACCUUAAUGACUAUUUUCUUUGGUUCUUCUGAUCACCCAGUGGCAAGAGAAUAUCGUGACCCACUUUUCAAAAGGAUGGUAAAUAUCACUGAAGACAAAAUUUAUGCAAGAAAGGGCCUGAAGAGCAGAUGUCGAUCUGAAUUCCUGAAAACCACAUGCCGUUGGACUCAUUCCACAGUACCUGUGCAGUGUGUUAAUCUUUGAGGUUUAAAAGUCCGUACAGCGAGAUUCACGUUUAACUCCCUAAUGGAAUUUCUAGGACUCAUGUGCGUUUAUGCUAGAGAACGUCGAGUCCAGGGUUCACCACCAGAGCGCUUUUUCUCCUGUUCUGCAUUUUGAGAUUUAGGAUGCCUAAUGAAAGGUAUGGUCAAGAAAAAAAAAAAAAUGAAUCAUCCGGGCAGAGAGGUGACAUAUCCGCUCCUGCCCGGCUCUUUAGUCUUUCUUUGAAGGAGUCAUUUCAAGCAGUAUAUGCAGCACUGCAUUUCUGAGCGAGAGCUAAUUAUGGGCCGUGAGCGGACAAGUUUAGACACUGGCCCUGACUUGGAGAACACAUUCCCAAGGCAUAACUAUUGGAUUUGAUUUGGGAGAAAAGAAGGUACGAGAUACAAUGCAGCACUUUGUAAUCAUUUAUUAGUCUUGGAAAGGGCCCUGAAGGUACUUGAAUUAUAAUAGAAAACAGCGGUUAUAAAUCAGACCUCGAGUGCAAGGACCAUUCAGUGCAGCAGAGACAUUUGCUCGGCAGCUGCCGUUCUCUGGCCCUCACCUGGGUUUGUGAGCGGACGGGGACUGAGCUGACAUCAAGAGGCACCUGGUUUUCUUUUCUCUCGCUCUCUUUUUAGCGCUAAAGCCGCACCAGCCGCUUGCUUUCCUCCUGGCAAAGCCUGGAUUGUUGAAGGGACGUGGACAGUGUUUUCUUAAGAGCAGGGUUUUGAGUGCUUCUGACCACCUGGCUGAUGGACGCUUUCGUGGCAGACCAGGUCUAGACACAGUGUCCUUUCACGUAGCUAUUGGAGCCAAGUAAACAUCCUCGCCCCUUCUCCCCUCCACUCUCCCCCGCCUCCGGCUUCGCACUCUGCUCACCUCUUUCCAGAAGCCUCUGGUCUCAUCCUCUCACGACCUCCACCUCCUCCACUUCUUUCUUCUGCGUCUCCACCUUCACCCAGUUCACUUCCCUUUCUUCUUUUGUUGUUUCAGUUCUUGCUCUUCCCUCACCUCUGCAGCACCAGCGAAGAUGGAAUAUGGGCUUGGAUUUUGGGAACCUCACUGGGAGCUGUGGGGGAGGUGGCAGCAGAAGGCACUUCACCCCAGUAGCUCAUGGAAGGUUAAUGUUGAUACCCUCCCAGCCCAGGGCUCCCUGUUGCUGAAACCAGCAGUUUUUUUUUGCCCAGAGUUGCUUGGGCCAAACCAGACAUUAUUUCCCAUCCUGCAGAUGAGCAGGAGGGCAUAGAGACUUUUUGAAUUGAUUUUGAACCUCUUCCAAGCCUUUCAGAAAUGGUUGGGGUUUUCACAAUUGCCUUCACACAGGUGUUUGAGCACAAAGGUAAAACUUUCUUUAGCAAUAAAGAGUAAGAACAUCAGUACCUUCAAUCUGUGGGCUUCUAUUUGCAGAAUCAGAAUUAACUGGGCAAUUUAGAGUACAGAAUUUCAGCUGAAGCUUUACAUUUUUAUGUGUGUUUUUGCACACGUAACCACAAGUCCAGAGAGGAGUCAAAAUUGGUAAAUGCCAUUUAAAAUUUUAUUUUCUAAUUUUAUUAGGGUUUCCAGUUCUAGAAAGUUUUCAUUUGGCUUUUUACUUUGCUUAUUUAAAUGCCAUUCAGGUUUUUUUUUUCUUUUUUUCCCCAAAAAGAAAACUCCUGUUUCCUUUAAACGAAUUAUUUAAUUAUCUAAUGGAAUUUCUCUAUGAACGCCUUCCUAGAUGAAAUAACAGUAUAUUUAAAUCACAUCUACAUAGUUUCUCUCUUCUUGUUAGAAACAGUAUUUGGCUCCUGCAACAUGGACCACGAUUUGCUGGUUUCCAGACCAAUGCGUAUGUUUCGCCAUCAUAUACAUUGGCCGUGAAGAGUGGCUUAAGUGAUCUGCUUUGUUCACUGCUUAAUUAUGUUAUUUUACUGUUCCUGAAGACCUGACACAAGGCAAAUUGACAUCACUGUGCUCCUAAUUAGCCAAUCAUCCUUAAGGAUUUGAAUGGUACAAACCCAAAGUAACUUCCUUCUUCACUGAAUAAGAAUUUCCGUUCAUCCAGGUUAAGACAGCGGUUCUACGGCAGAAGGCAUCUUGUUGGUGACGGCCCUUAAGAUGUCUGUCCCCUGAGUCACACUGCAUUCAAAGCCACGUGACGGUGUGGGCAGCCUCCUAAAACCCAUCACAGGAAAUCAGUCAGUACCCCCUGCAGUUGGGGGAGACCUGCUCAGUUGUUCAUCAGACAGUAAAGAUUCUUGUAGAUGCUGCUUCUGGUUUUUAAAUGAAAUCAGCUGUGCCUUUUCUUUGCCUGAAAUCUACACCCUGCCACAUCUGCUUUACACUUUUGGUCGGAAAUGUGUCCGCGCCACAUGACAUAGGACCUGCGUGGCCCUACAGGCAGCCUGGGGGCCCCAGUGCCUGUCCCCCUGGCUCUGAAUCUCUCGCCUCUCUGGACACAUGGCUGUCGUCGUCCAUAGAGCACAAGAUGCCCCUCUUCACUCGGGGCUCGGGGUCCUGUUCCCGACGUCUUUCUUCCCAUCCGAACCCUGUCUUGCCCAGGUCUUUUUUUGUCGUACACGGCGAUGUGCUUCCAGGGAGGCAGGAGUCAAUCAGGAUUGGCCCAAGCCGGUGGUCCUUAAACUCUUUGGACCAUCAGGCACAGUAAGAAAUUCAUCUUACAUCACGCUUCAAACACGUGUAGGUAGGUAGGAAUAUCUAUGUGCGUAUCUACAUCUGGACUCAAAUUUCAAUUUACGAAAAUGGGAAUUAAGACCUUCUCAGUUGAUUUUCUUAACUUUGGUUUACCAUACAUGGUGUGGUCUGAGCCAAUCCUGAUGCUUCCGCUCUCCUGGUUAGUGAUUGGUUCAGGUGAGGGCAUGUGAUACAAUUCUAGCCAAUAAGAAGCUGAGGGGCUCCCACGAAAGGUUUCAGUUACUAACAGAGACACUUGAGGGAAGUAACUGUUCCUUCCCUGCUGGAUGUCAGGCUGCCUGCUUAUGAUGCCUGAAACUGAACAGGCCAGGAAAGGAGCCAGGCCGAGAUGGCAGGAGGGGAAGAUGAAAGACAGCCAGAUCCUUGAUUUUGUUGCUGAAUUAAUCAGUGCUCUCCCAAGCCAUUUCAGGAGUUCUUGUGAGAUAAAUUUCUCUAUUGUUGAAGCCAGUUCAAUUGGAGUUUGCUGUUACUUGCAGUCAAGAGCUUCCUAACUAAUAUUCUUCUUCACAGUAUCUAGGAAUCAAAUGACCUGAGCUGGGAUCUGCAGUGAAUGAGACCAGGGUCAUAUUCCAAUUAGAAGAAUAAGAUGAAGUUGGAACCCUUGUUGUCCUGUUAAGUCAGCUGGACAUUUGUGGGUUUAGUGGCCAUGGGACUGGUUUUGGGACCUGAAACAGCAGACCAUGGGAAUUUGUGAUUGACCUUGUGGUUUUAGCUAUUGGUAGGUGACCUGGAAGCUUGUUGACAUAGAAUUGUGAUUUUGCAGGGUCUUACGUUUGGAUUUUGUCUUCCAGGAAGUGGAUUUCAUACCCAGUAGCUGUGCAGCAGAUGAGCCUGGCUAACAGAGCAGCUUCAUGUUGUCGCUUCAUGGUUCUCCUGUCUUUGCGGGCUCACCUUCUCACGAUGCGGUGUUAUCUACUGCCCCCCCCUCCCCCAGGAAGCCAUGUGUUAGUGCUGGAAAUGAAAAGACAGUGGAGGAAGUGGGGGUGCACAGCCGGGAAGCGGAACUCUGGACAAAGAUAGGGGGGAAGCGCGGGCGUCGGUGGCCCGGGUCCCACACGGGAGGAGCUCUCUGAGGGCCUGCGCGGGAACAGGAGACCGUGCCUAGCAGGUUGUGCGGGGCUCGCCCGGUGCAGGGACUGCACUCACUCACAAGGGCUGAGCCUCCGCAGGAGUUGGGGCGCGUCUACAUGCAGUUGUGCACGGACUCCGGGGAGCUUGAUGGGAACGGUGACUCUGCACCAGGGUUUGCGGGGUCUCGGGCAGGUUCCCCCUUGAGUGUCAGGGUUUUCCGACUUGCGGUGUGUGAAAGACAGAGGGUGGCCGGGGCCCUACUUUAUAGGAGAUGUGUGAGUCGCUCAUUGUCCGGACGUUGCCAUAGUCAUUUAUUUUCAAUAUUCUCCCCUCACGUGCCCCCGGGGACUCGCGUGGGCUUUCUCCUUGGUCUCCUGUGACCCAUCUUUGCUCAGGUACUGGGUUAGGUACAUCCAUUUCCAUGGAGUUUAUUAAUGAAACAACAGUGUAUUAAGAACCUACAGUGUGAGAUACUCAGUGGGUUCAAAGAGUCACAGGAAUCAGAGGCAGAAAGGUGGGAAGUGAAUCCUCUGGUGACACAAGGUAGCACCUGAGGCUGUGGACCAAAUGCUGGAGACAGGGCUCUGGCCACUCGUCUGGUCUGUGUCCCGGACACCUGGCAUUACUCAUCAUGGCUUAGCCUGUGCUCAAAGUCAAAGCCGGAGCCUGAGGCUGAGCAUCACGCAGCGUGCUGGGUGCCCCCAGGGACAGGGACUAAAGCCGAGGCUCUCCCUGGGAUCAUCACAGAGGAGAUGACACACUGGCUUGGGAAUUUACAUGUAGUCCAGGUGCGCACGUUCAGGGCCUUUUGCAGAGACGUGAGGGAGAGCCCCGUGCCUCAGGAAGAGGCGCAAAGAGAAGAGGAAUGUGGAAGCUUCCAGAGAAGACCGAAGAGCCUCAAAAAUGAUGCCCAAGACCAGAGCAGUGGGUUGAAAGGUGUUGCUCUGGGCUCUGCCAGAGACAUGCAUUCUAAAUGUUUUACUUGCUUAUGGUGACUUCAGAUUUACAGAUCUGGAAUUUAUCAUUUGCUUAUUAACAGCGAGAUGUAAUGUUUGGUGCUGUGCCCAAGUUAAUGGAAGUUAGUUAGGAAGUGGUUAUUUGAUUUUGAAUAGGUAAAUUAGCCAUUGUCUGACCAAGGCAGAUUUAUUCCUUGACGAGUCAAAUCCUUGUUUCCCCUUUGACCCAAACGCUGGGACCCUGUGGCUGUGGUUUGUCUUCUCUCCUUUGGUUCUGCCUUUUCUCUACGUGGUUCGUUUUCUCUGAGUGCUCUACCUCCGAGACGCUAAGUGUGGGAGGCAGUCGGCUGCCGGAAUCUCUUUCAUUGGGCUCAGCCAUCAACAAUUUGAGGUUUGCUGAAAAAUUUUUUUCUGAUGUCCCUGUUUGGAAAUUCCUGAGCAAAUCCAGGGUACCCCCUUGAGGUGUUAAUUACGCCGUACAGCCAUUUGCUUUGGGGACUCUUAUUGCAUUAAUUCAUCUUUCAAAACGAAAUUGCCAGAAUCCAGAGUAGAUAACAGUGGAAUAGAAAGUGUUUUGCAAGUACUGAAGCUGAAACUUAGAAACGUGUGUACAUGAAAAUCGUGCCGCGGUUGGAUUUUGGGUUUCCAUCAUUUUCACAGCGUUGUGAACGUGUCUUUGUUUUGGCCCCAGAGGAAGCGAUCCCGAUCAAGAUGCCUUUUCUCCAGGAUUAAAUUAUGUCUUUAAGGGAGAGGCUUACUCAUUGUUUUUUGCACAUUCCUAUGGAUUCUAGACUCUUCCACGUGUUUGGUCCUUACUCUUGUGUUUGUUAAAAGUUUCAAGCCUCGAGGUUUGAAACGCAAAUUGCCGGCCCUUCUGUGAGAGUAACAGGGCUUAUUAAAGCCCAGUUGUCCUGGGGUCUGAGCUCCUUGAGUCCCAGCCUCAUCCAAGUUUCCAGGGCUGCCAAGUGACAGUGUUGUCAUUAGCAGCUUGAACAGAAGGCGGGAGGCAGCAACUUAACAGAAUGAAACUCUGAAAUUAAAACCCGCCAAAGAAUUUGUUAUUGACUGAAAUGGAAAGCGAGUUGUAAUUUGGAACUAAAUGAUUUAGGAACAUCGCUGGGGUUGUACCCGAACCAUGUAGAUGGCAAAAAUCUGCUGCUAAAAUGCCUCGUGAAGCGAGGAGGUUUCCAGCAUCAUUUGGAAGCCCUCCGAGGCGCUCUUAGGCCACAUCCAAAUGCUUGCACGCAGUCACCGUGUGGCUGAUCCGCACAAUGAGAAGACAUGGGGCUUGGGUACGAGCAGAUGAGCGUGAUUCAGAAGGAGAUGUGAACUGUGUGAACGCCGCCCUUUAUACAGGGAUUAUGAUUUUUCAUUCAGAAUUUAGGCAGACAGCGGGCAAAAUGUAAUCACUUUUCAGCAUUACUGUGCUGUAUAAGCAUAUUAGGGGAGCUCUGUAACGGUAAUCAUGUAGUGAACUUGAAACCACCCCUAAUUAAACCGUCUGCAUCCCCCCGCAUUUUCCUGUAAUGAUGUCAAACCGUGUAGCAAUUAGUUGCACCUCUAUGAAUGUAAACAGCGUUUGUAAAUCAUAUAAACUUCACCUGGUUUUUGCUUAUUGAAAAUCUCCUGAAAAGGAAUUAAUUAGCUUUGUAUGUUUUGGAAUUGCGAUUUAUAGGAUCCUUUUGGAAUCUUUCACUGAAAUGAAAUUAAUUUUUUUUUUCCUGCGAUGUGUUCCAAUGGAAUCUCUCUCGCAGGGGGCUGCAAAGGGAGAGUCAGCACAAGUGACUCGGUCUUCAUUUUAUUUCUGCGAUGGCUGAGGAAGUGUGGAAUUUAGGAAGGGGGUUUCCUGAGUUAAGCCAGUUUUAAGGUCUUUUUCUCCAGAGGAAGGUAUAUGUAUGUCAUCUGAGGGCUGCGUGUUGCCUGCGUUUGCCGCCUUCCAGCCGGCGCUGAGCGUCUCAGGCUCAUCUGAAUGGGGGGUUCGGGCAUCUGAAGCCACCUCGAUGCCGCGCAUCAUCCUGGAAGCUGCCGGCCCGCAGCCGCGUGGGAACGGCUCCCGAGCAACCGCGGAAUUCAAGGGAAGUGGCCAAUUCCAGACAAAGACCUUGAACAAACAAAACACACACUCAAGUGUUUUGACUCGGUGAUCUUUCCUCCGCCGACAGGGAGCACAGAAGCAAAGGGAGCCAAGUUUAAAAUGUAGCACAGCUUUGUUGCCAUUUUCUUGCUGAAACCUUGGAUCCUGGUGGUGGAUGGUUUACCUGAGCCAUCGGCUACAUAGCACAUUUAUGGUUAUUGUAUUUUACAGGUUGAUAGAUUUUUAUAUUCUGUCCAAGUCAGGAUCUUACACCACCUGGUUUAUUAUUUAGUAAUUUACAGUGCAGUCAGGCGCGUUUGGCUUAAUGUAGGAUAAACUUAUAAAUCUAUUGUUCCUGUACUUGCCAGGGUUGCUGUGCAGUGAACUACAGAGCCCGAUGCGUCCAUACAUUUCAGCUCUGCCUUUUUCUUUGAUAGGGAAGCAGGCAAUAGAUAACACAGUGACAGUAGCUUCCCAGGGGACGGCAAAAUGUGAGAGCAACACCACGUCAGGUUACUAGGUCAUUAUUGUGUGAGCCGUGAACCAUUAAUGGACUGCUACGCCCAGCUCAGUCUGUGUCAGAUUAUGGCUCUUGGCAGGAGAAUUGUUAUCUAAUAGCUAACUUUGCUUCCUCACCAUCGCCUUAUGAGUUCCUCUGAUAAAAAUGUGCACAGGUAUAUAUAUUAAUAGGGGGUCUCGUUGGAAAAAGGCCAGAUCUUGGUUAUUUUCCCCCAUUUCUGCAAACAAAGCCGAGGUGUUGAAUCUGCUCUGGUAGUUCUUCGAGGGGACGGCGUCCUCUCACAGGUAGCUUGGACAUCUUGUAAAACACACAGCCAGACGCACAGUGCUAACUGAUGCAAAAGCCUGCACCGUUCGUAUUUUUUUUGGUGAUUGUGUUAAAUGAAGAAAUACUGGGGGUGAAAGAGUUAAGGAGAAUUGAUCCCUGCUAGCCACCUCCACCCUAACUCUUCAAACAGCACGAACCCCGGCCUGCUUUUAAAUUCUGGAAAAUAAAGUCACUGUUCUUGAAACGGUAGCCCCCAUGCAAUGACAAAGUGGCAUUAUAGAUCAAUUUUUAUCUCGUAUAUUAUAAACAGGGAAAGCAUGUUGUUUAGGUGUGGCUUCAGAUAAAGGCAUACCUGUCUAGGAGAACACAGAAAGAAUCCCUCGGUUUGGAGUUAUAAUGGCAAGAAGUUUAUGUUGUGUAUUUGGGACCCAUCUUUGGGAGAAAUAAAAGUCACAGAGUUUCUUGAAACCCCUCAGCCUCUUUGCUCUCGCCCGAGUCUCUGGAUGGAGUCGCGGAAAUGGAGAAUUCCCAGAUGCUUUCCAGGAAAGGUGAAUGUGCAGGUGCGUUUGGAUCGGGAUUAUGCCCCCAGAACCUCUCUGCUGGGUUAUGCCCGUCCGUCGGCUUCGGAAAUUCUGCGAUGUCGAGAAUGGGAAGGGAUGUGAACAGAGCACAUGGCAGGGAAGCCUUUCAGUGGGACCGCCAGAAAGUCGAGCCAGAGAGGGAGCUGUGGACAUCACUGGGAGCCAGCCUUGGCGUGGAUUCAGGCCUGGAUCUCGCGCUGCUUGGCUGCUGACCACGCAGCUGGAGUGCACCUGCCCAGGAGGGGGACGGGCUGGUACGUCCUCGGCCACCGUCCUCAUUUCACUGCGGCCCUGGCAGCAGAGGCCGCCUAUGGAGAGCGCAGCUUCCGUCUGCUGAGAUGCCUCAGGACGAGCGGCACACCUGAAAGGGCUGUUAAAAUGGGCUUUUAAUGCUUCUGUUUGAUACCGUUUUCUGGUUUGACGAAGCGCCUAUAUAAUGAAGUUAAGUAGAGUUAACACCCAAAUCUAUUCUAAUCCAAAUCUCGUUACUCGUUCCUGAGUGCACACGUGCAUGCGUGUGCCUGUGUAUUUAUGUAUAAAGGAUUACGUUGGCCCCACCUCCUGUGCCCCCCCCCCCAGUGUCCUCUGAGGCCCGGUUCCCAUGGAGUGGGGUCAGCCAGGCCUCUGCAUCCCUCCUCCGGCCCCUGACCGGACUCCAGCUUUGGACUCCACCAUGGAUUUGCGUUUAAUCAAAUGUUGCACAUUGCGUGUUGCAGAGUGCUAAUGUAACUUUAGUCCUGAGCCUCUUUUUCUCCCUCGUCUUUAUGUGGAUAUUACUGAAGUCAAGGCCUGUAGGAUAAAAUGCCUUUUCAUUUAACAAUUAAUUCCUUCUUUGCCUUCGUAGCUGAAAACACUCAAGUCAUUAUGGCUUAUGACAAAAGCUCAGUUUAUAUUCCAAAUCUUUGAUUAAAGAUGUGACAGGUGCAUGAGGAGGCAUGCUCCCACAUCGUAAUCACCACCCCUUUGGAAGCCUCAGCCCGUUUAAUUACUGGAUAAAGGACAUUUUAGGACUCACGUCUUUGUCUUAGGAAAGAAAGCCGAUACGGUGGAGAUACUUGCAUCAUGAAUAAAUUCUGACAAGGGACAAGUCCGAACUACUGCCACAUCCUGGAGGGGCUCAAAUUUAGAAAUACCGAUGCCACUAACUGCUGGCAAAGGUGUGGAGCAGCUGGAAUGCUCCUGCACUGCAGGUGGAAGUUAGAAAUGGUACAGCCACUUCGGAGAACAGCUCGGCUGUGUCGUAUCCAGUUAAGCAUGCAACCUAGCAAUCCCAUUCCUAGGAAAGAAAAUGAAAACUCGUGUCCACACAAGUGGCUUCUCCAUGGACGUUCCAAGCGGCAUCGCUUUUAAUAGUAAAUACACACAGGCUGUGCUGGAGGCAACGAAGUGUUCAUGAGGAGGUGAAUCCAUCAGCAAAUUCCUGGUGUCUCUUCAGGGUGGGUGCCACACAGCAGGCUGUGGUUAGUGAAAGACGCCAGGUACCAGAAGGACCAUACACUGCAUAACACUAAUAGGAGAUCAUUUACAUGCAACUCGGGGCAAAACAUUGUCGGAAAGCAGAUAAGUUGUGCCAGGAGCAGGGAUGGGGCGGGCACAGCCGUGCAAAGACAUGCGGGGCCAAUCGAAACAGGGUAACGUGACGGUGUCACAUUGCCAGAACCCAUCCAGCUGUACAGCGCGAAUGCGUGAAUUUUAGUAUUUACAAAUUGCGCUUUAAUAAGGCUGGUCAAAGUAGGCAAGACUGAGUAUUUAAAAUAAAAUUCCUCCCUUUAAACAUAUGACGAGAAAGCCAGAAACCAGCCUGGGUAAGACUGACUGUGUGUCUAAACACAGUUUGUGGCAGGAAGAUAAAAGACAAAGGGAUGGCUGGAGGAAAAAUCUUUAAAUUACGACUGCUUAAUUUUCUCUACCUUUAAAAUACUUUGACAAAAAAAUGUCAAAUCAGCAGAAAAUCACCAGACUAGGCAGUUUACCUGCUGGAGAAACAUCUGGUGGAAAAAUAAUAAUAAUGGAAGCUAACACUAAUAAUAAUAAUAAUAAUGCAACUAAUGCUUGUGGGGAACUUACGUCCUUCUGACACUAUCCAAAGUGUUUUCUGUUUUAAAUGAGGAGUAGUUGGCAAUUGUUUAACGCGUAAAAUCUGAUAAGCUCUGACAUACAGGUGCCUGUGACACCAUCACCAUGGUCGAGGUAAUGAAUAUACCCCAAAGUAUCAACCCCCCCCCGAAAAUGCCUCCUUGGGGUUCUUCUCCCUCCCCCUCACCGGAUGCCACCCUCCCCAGGCAACCACUGAUCCGCCGUCCCUGGGUGUUGAUUUAUACCCAUGGAAACAUACCAUGGCUAUGCUUGGGCCUCUUGUACUCAGCAUAAUUAUCUUGAGAUUCAUCCUUGUGUGUGGGUAUCAGCAGUUCUUGUUCUCUUAAAAAUGGUCUAUUCGUUUUUGUUGCUGAAUAGUAUUGCAUCUCAUGGGCUCACCUGAGGAUGGAGAUGCCGGCCGGUCCAGGUUCCUAGCUGUUCUGAAUAAACUCUGUGAACAUUUGUGUGCAGGUUUUACAUGGACACAUGCUUUCUCUGGGAUAAAUGAUGAGGAGUGGAAUGGCUGAGUCCUAUGAUCAUCUAACGAGAAGAGAACUUGGAUAGACCUGUGGUGCUGGUCUAACCUGAAGCCUGAACACUUAACAUCCAGAGGAGAAAUGCAAACUAGAGUAUUACUGACAUAUUUUCACCUGUAUUCAUGGCCAUGAUUAAGAAAAGUAACAAUAUUUAUAGCUGGUUGGAUCCCUCUGGGUUGUGGCACAUAGAGACUUAGGGAGCUAAGGCUGUUCCAGAAUGUGGACCUCCUUACCCUCCACGACGGAAGACCCCCUGCUUCUGCUUGAUUGCUUCCAGCGAUCCGAGCUCACCUGAUUUUGCUUGAGAAGAACGCCAGUGUUUCAGAGUGAUAACUGGCACCAAGAGAUGGCCUCCCCUUCAGUGAGCCCCAGUCUCCAUCCCUCCAUCCCCCACCUACGACGGGGAGACUCGCCUGACAACACGUGGCCGCAGACACCUGGAGACGGUGACCCCCAGUUCUUCUUCGGGGGGGGCCCUCUCUGUUCCUCAGUGUUCCUUCCGUGCUGCCGUUUCUGACCCCGCUGUUGGUUGAUGCCCAGGACAGAGCCCGGGUGUCCUUUGGUCAGCACUGCCUCCUGGGACCUGGAAGCUGAUUCUGGUCGCUGACGCUAACUCCGCUUUACACUGUCUGUUCCCCUGAACUUUGGGACAGUGAGAUUCUGCAGGCUCUGUUUUGGGACCUCAUUGAGCUGCAGUGUGCUGGAUCGUGGCUCCAACGUGGACGUCUCACUCAGCCCCUGUAGGUUGCACCCCAGACCCGAUGAACAGCAGGCCCAGCAGGACCCCUGCGGAGGGCUCCGCGCGGGGAGGUGCACAUGAGACCGGCUCCCCUCAGCCUUGUUCUGUACAUGACGGGGGGAUUAUUCUGUCACCCAUGAGUUGACAUAAUCCGUCCUCAGCUAGGCCUUGCGUCUCCAUGCAGAUCACAGGCCUCUUGUGCCGGUUUCAUCAGACCUUUGCCCCAGAGCAAGGCCACUGCUGCCUGAAAAGCUCCCGGAUCUAUAGACGCGUCUAAGGAAAGAAACAUGGUAGCUCUAGGCGACUGUUCCCUCUCCUGUGCCCAGCACACCUGCGUCUGCUUCCCUCUUGACUCGGUUUCUGCUGGUCUGCUCUUGGGCUCUCAGCCUUCCCCCGCCGCAGCCUCUCCCUCCAUCCCCUGCUGCCCUGCAUCCAACAUCUCGCUACAUAAAGGCAACUGCCAGCCCUUAGAAGAAGAGCCAAAUCAUCGUCUUCCCUGUAGACACGUCUAAACAUCUGGAUUAUUUACACCAGGCAGACAAGGUGUCUGAAAAAUAGGCUGCUUUUCACUAUUUAGUUCAGGGUUCAGCAAACUUUUCCUGUAAAGGUCCAGAGAGUAAAUAUUUUAAGCUUUUUGUGGGCCAUAGAGCCUCUGUCAUAAUGACUCAACUCUGCCGUUGUAUCAGGAAAGCAGCCCCAGACCACAUGUAAACAGAUGAGCAUGGCUGUUUCAAUAAAGCUUUAUUUGCAGUGACAGGCAGUGGCCAGAUCUGGCCCCACUGGCUAGAGCCCGCCAAGGCCUUAUGUAGUUCCCUGCAGAGACAGAACCCACAUCUCUGUUCCAAAGGAACAGACAAGCAGAACUAGACUGAGGGCAUCCAGCAGCUUCCGUAAAUGAGAAUCCUUGGCACCUGGCUUUUGGCCUGUGGGUGCACUUGUUCCAAAGCAGCUCCUUGACCCUGCACCCACCCCCGCAGAGAACCCCUGGUGCACCCCGGACAUCGUUGCCAAUGUUCGUCUGCUUCCCAAGGCCUCUUCCCUUCUUUCCAGCCGCAAUAGGGAGAAUGUUUCCUUUCCCUCCUCGCUCCGCUUUCACAGCGCUCUGCUUUCAUUUUGCUGAUUUUCUUCUCUUUUACAUAUUUUGGUUUGAGGAACCCAUAUUUUAAUAGCUGGUGAAGGUGGCUCAGACAACAGCUCAGGCCUGAACUCUUUCAUGCUCCCAGCUAAUUUCCUUCGAGAAUCUCACACUUUCUCUUUAGGACAUAUUUGUGAAAUGUUCACACAUGCAAAGAACAAAAGAAGUCUUGGACAUGCCACAUACGUUUGAUUUUCUGAUAAUUUAAUUCUGUUUCCUCAGAGAAUCAUUUGGUUUAUGGAAAACAGGGUUAGCGCAUUUUAAUACUGUGGAAAAAAGUUCUUUUCACUCGUAAGCAUCUUCUGAAUGACUACUUUUUCUUCUGUAGAUUCCUCUAAAUAGAGAGCCUUUGGCUUAACCAGUAUCUUCAUGGAAAUACAAAACUUCCGGGUGGUUAAAACCAGUCAUCCCUUUUCUGACGAGGUGCAGCCCCAAAUACGGGGUACACGCUCUCUGAUCUUUUUGAUCCAAAACCUCCAUCCGUAAAAUUCGGAGUGUGGACCUCCGGGACGGGUCUGUUUUAUCGGUUAUGUCCAUGUGCUCUGGCACCAAUAGAUUGUGCAUGCUGUAGAACAAAUGCGAAAUAUGAGUUAAACUCAGAAAAUAAAACUGCAGUUCCUUUUCUCUCUGUGCUCCCCUCUGCAGGACGGUGUCUGAGGAACUCUGCAUGGCCCCAGCACACCGCAGGGGGUUGGGGCUCGGAGGGGCGGGGGCAUCUUUGGAGCCAGACCUCCUCUCAUGGACUAGCCCCACCCCUUUGAGCUCAAGCUCAGCUGUGUGGUAGCAGCUCUCAGCUCUCCUAGCGAUGCUCCUCCUACAGAGGCAGGUGUGCCCAGGCCCGGCCAGUCAGUGACAGGAGACUUCUGGGGCACACCUGUUCCUGUGGUGGGGGCCAUCCUGGGGACCAUGAAACAGUGACUGACCCUGGUGACUGACCCUGGUGGAAUGAGCCAUGCAAAGCCCCCGUCAAAGCCGUGCUCCUGCAUCCUCGCCAUCAAGACAUGAGCUUAGCUGGUGGGGUAAAUAUGUCUGUACAUCUGUGUCUGCGGGGGUUCCAAGAUGUCGUGGACAGAUUUUCAUACAGAUCAUUUGAGUCACAAACAGGAGUUAGGUUUUUCUAGGAAUCCUAUGCUUAAUCAUUUUGUAAAGAAUCUCUCAGAAAUAAACCCCCACUCCCUUAUUUUGUGUUUUGAACUCUCUGACUUUUGAAGGUAGGCGUGGAUUAGAGCAGGUCUGUACUAAUCCCAUGACUCUCCGCCUCCCCACCCCCCUCCAGGAUUAAUGGCGAAAAAAGAUGAGGUCAUGGAUUUUCAGCUUUUGGGGAAAAAUUUGCCGUCAUCCAGGGGAGUGGAACUCAUUAUGAUCACUUUCUUUACCUUCCAUUAAAUGGGCAUGAAAUAAGCUCCUUGUCUGUUUUUUGAAGGCUGGGUUACUUUUAUGCGUAUCCAUGUAGAUGGAUGUUGAAAGCGUCCAGCCUGGGGAUGCAAAGGAGCAAUGACGAGAGUCUUCUUGGUCAGGGUUGGGGACACCCACCCCAGGGACCUGACCCAUGUCCGCUGGCAAAACGCCACUGUGCGUUAAAGCCUUGCCCCCACUCCUGCGCAUUCUCCGCUCUUGGACUUCC